UACGUAGGGGGCAAGCGUUGUCCGGAAUCAUUGGGCGUAAAGAGCGUGUAGGCGGCCCGAUAAGUCCGCUGUGAAAGUCCAGGGCUCAACCCUGGGAUGCCGGUGGAUACUGUCGGGCUCGAGUCCGGAAGAGGAGUGUGGAAUUCCUGGUGUAGCGGUGAAAUGCGCAGAUAUCAGGAGGAACACCAAUGGCGAAGGCAGCACUUAGGGACGUGACUGACGCUGAGACGCGAAAGCGUGGGGAGCAAACAGG
rnacentral:rRNA from 1 species